rnacentral:rRNA from 1 species
GCCGGUGAUUUAGCUUUGUAUGCACCACCUCAUCCCAUUCCGAACUGAGCAGUGAAAGUGCAAAGCUCCGAUGAUACUUCUUGUUUCGACGAGUGGGAAAGUAGGAUUCGCCGGCU